UAGGAGUAUCGGAUUGCGACGAGACUUGGUUCGUUGGAUUCGGGACUUCGAAAGGAAUCCACGAAACCCUUACUUGCGAAUUUUGGUGAAGUUUGGAGUUAGCUCGAUUUCGAGACUCGGGCAUUUUUGGUCGAUCCAGCAGGUGGUGUCGCAGCCGAGGGGGUUCCGUGCUGCCAGGGAUUAGCGUGCGAGAGCCACAGGUUCCGGCUGCUGCACCGUC